rnacentral:rRNA from 1 species
AGCGUUGCUCGGAAUCACUGGGCGUAAAGCGCACGUAGGCGGAUUGUUAAGUCAGGGGUGAAAUCCUGGAGCUCAACUCCAGAACUGCCUUUGAUACUGGCAAUCUCGAGUCCGGGAGAGGUGAGUGGAACUGCGAGUGUAG